GACCCCAAGGCCCCAGGCCCAACAUUAGGAAAACUAACCCCUGUGCCCUGAAGCUGCAAGAUGUUCCCUCACCCAACCCCCAUGUCAAAACCCCUCCAGCAGCAUGUAGCACCUCAGGUGUUGCACAAUGUUACCACAAGAUGUUCCAUGUAGAUAACCCUAACGGGCCCCCUAUCACAAGAUGUUCCUUUUAGACAGUCCUACUGGUUAAACUUGAGAACUAGGUUUAAAAACAGGAACUGAAAGGACAGAAUGCAAUUUUAUGGUUUUUUUGAGAACAAAAAGUUGAAAAACAAGUUUACCCCCCUAGGUGACUCAACUGCUGAAUUCAGAGGGACCAAUAGGAAGGCUGUUGCUGUGCUAAGCUAAGACCUAACCCACCUGUUCCAUAUAAAAGAUCUAUACCCCAAAGCCCGGUGUGCCAGCUCAUCGAAGCUCCGGCUGAGGUUUUGCUGUGCACCCGCAGGCGCCUGUGUGAGAAUAAACGCCUCCUGCUUUUUGCAGCCAGUGUCUCGUGUGGUUCAUUCCGGGUUUGGGAUCUGUGGAUAUUUCAUUGUGGAGGUUCCACCGAGAUCCAAGAUCCCGGUUCCGGUUCGAUCCCGGUCCCUAUCCGGAGGACACCCGACAUCACUGGGAGACUCAUUUGCAUGCUUUGCAAUUGGUCCAGAACGAGGUCUGGAAGCCUCUAGCCGCAGCAUACAAAGAGGAACUUAAAACCCCCUUGCUGCCACAUCCCUUCAAGGUCGGAGAUACCGUCUGGGUACGCAGGCACCAGAGCAGGAACCUCGAACCGCGGUGGAAAGGACCCUACACUAUCCUGCUGACCACUCCUACUGCACUCAAAGUGGACGGCAUCGCUGCUUAGAUCCAUGCUUCCCACGUGAAGACUGCACAUCCACAGGAGUCCGCAGACACCUCUCCGGAUCCAGAAUGGAAGUUGCAACGUACCCAAAAUCCGCUAAAGAUAAGACUCACUCGCUGUUAAUUUUUCUUGCUUUGUGCUGUGUCUUCCCCAUAUCAGUUAACCCCAACCAAUCUGUGAGCCAGACAUGACAAGUAUUAUCGGGGACAAAAAAUAUAAUUUAAAAAAAAAAAAAAAAAAAACAAAACAGGAUCCCCCACUUUCUGCCGACUCUUGCAGGAGCCUGAAAUGGUACGGGGCAGGGCCAUGUACCGCAUUUGCCUGCAACCCCUUAAACAUUACCUUUACUCAGGCAGGCAAAGCAUCAAAAGAUUGGAUAAAAAAAAAAAAAAAAACAAUGGGGCCUGAGAGUAUAUCAUAAAACUGCCUAUGACCCUGGGGUCCUAUUCAAAAUUAGAUUAAUAGUAAAUACCAACCCCCAACCAGUAUGCUGAGCCGUCAGCUAAAAUAAUGCUGGAAUCCGAGCAGAUGGGUCAAUGGAUAUAAAAUUAUAUCCAUGAUAUAAAAAAAAAAAAGGGGAAUGAAGGACCCCAAGGCCCCAGGCCCAACAUUAGGAAAACUAACCCCUGUGCCCUGAAGCUGCAAGAUGUUCCCUCACCCAACCCCCAUGUCAAAACCCCUCCAGCAGCAUGUAGCACCUCAGGUGUUGCACAAUGUUACCACAAGAUGUUCCAUGUAGAUAACCCUAACGGGCCCCCUAUCACAAGAUGUUCCUUUUAGACAGUCCUACUGGUUAAACUUGAGAACUAGGUUUAAAAACAGGAACUGAAAGGACAGAAUGCAAUUUUAUGGUUUUUCUGAGAACAAAAAGUUGAAAAACAAGUUUACCCCCCUAGGUGACUCAACUGCUGAAUUCAGAGGGACCAAUAGGAAGGCUGUUGCUGUGCUAAGCUAAGACCUAACCCACCUGUUCCAUAUAAAAGAUCUAUACCCCAAAGCCCGGUGUGCCAGCUCAUCGAAGCUCCGGCUGAGGUUUUGCUGUGCACCCGCAGGCGCCUGUGUGAGAAUAAACGCCUCCUGCUUUUUGCA